rnacentral:tRNA from 1 species
GCCCCCAUCGUCUAGCGGUCUAGGACACCGCCCUUUCAAGGCGGCGGCACGGGUUCGAAUCCCGUUGGGGGCA